UACGGGGGGGGCAAGCGUUGUUCGGAAUUACUGGGCGUAAAGGGCUCGUAGGUGGCCAACUAAGUCAGACGUGAAAUCCCCAGGCUCAACCUGGGAACUGCGUCUGAUACUGGAUGGCUUGAAUUCGGGAGAGGGAUGCAGAAUUCCAGGUGUAGCGGUGAAAUGCGUAGAUAUCGUAAGGAAGACCAGUGGCGAAGGCGGGUCUCUGGACAGUUCCUGACGCUGAGGCACGAAGGUCAGGGGAGCAAACGGG
rnacentral:rRNA from 1 species